rnacentral:rRNA from 1 species
UGAAUACGAGACGCUAAGGCGUCGAAGUAGUGUAUGUCAUACUUCCAAGAAAAGCUUGCACUGUCAUAGAUAAAAAACGCCUGUACCAUAACCGACACAGGUGGGUAGGUAGAGUAUACUAAGGGGCGCGAGAUAACUCUCUCUAAGGAACUCGGCAAAAUAACUCCGUAACUUCGGGAGAAGGAGUGCCUUAUUCGUAAGGUUGCAAUAACAAGAUCCAAGCAACUGUUUAUCAAAAACACAGGUCUCCGCUAAGUCGUAAGACGAUGUAUGGGGGCUGACGCCUGCCCAGUGCCAGAAGGUUAAAGAAGUUGGUUAGCAAUUGCGAAGCUGAUAACUGAAGCCCUGGUGAACGGCGGCCGUAACAAUAACGGUCCUAAGGUAGCGAAAUUCCUUGUCGGGUAAGUUCCGACCCGCACGAAAGGCGUAAUGAUUUGGAUACUGUCUCGGAGAGGGGCUCGGUGAAAUAGACUUGUCUGUGAAGAUGCGGACUACCUGCACCAGGACAGAAAGACCCUAUGAAGCUUUACUGUAACUUGAAAUUGAAAUUGGACUUUAUUCGCGCAGUAUAGGUGGGAGGCGUUGAUUAUAAUCUUGUGGGAUUAUUGGAGCCAUCAGUGAGAUACCACUCUUGUAAUGUUAGAUUUCUAACUUUGAAUCAUUAUCUGGUCAAAGAACAGUUUCAGGCGGGCAGUUUGACUGGGGCGGUCGCCUCCUAAACGGUAACGGAGGCGUACAAAGGUUUCCUCUGAACGGUUAGAAAUCGUAUCUAGAGUGUAAAGGCAUAAGGAAGCUUGACUGUGAGACCUACAAGUCGAGCAGGGACGAAAGUCGGUCUUAGUGAUCUGACGGUACUGAGUGGAAAGGCCGUCACUCAACGGAUAAAAGUUACUCUAAGGAUAACAGGCUGAUCUCCCCCAAGAGUUCACAUCGACGGGGAGGUUUGGCACCUCGAUGUCGGCUCAUCGCAUCCUGGGGCGGUAGUACGUCCCAAGGGUUGGGCUGUUCGCCCAUGAAAGCGGUACGCGAGCUGGGUUCAGAACGUCGUGAGACAGUUCGGUCCAUAUCCGGUGUAGGCGUUAGAAUAUUGAGAGGAGCCUUCUUUAGUACGAGAGGACCGAGGAGGACAUACCUCUGGUGUACCAGUUAUCGUGCCAACGGUAAACGCUGGGUAGCUAUGUAUGGAGUGGAUAACCGCUGAAAGCAUCUAAGUGGGAAGCCCACCUCAAGAUAAG